rnacentral:rRNA from 1 species
GACACGCUGGCGGCGUGCUUAACACAUGCAAGUCGAACGGAGAUCUAGGAAGCUUGCGAAUCUAGAUCUUAGUGGCGGACGGGUGAGUAACGCGUGGGUAACCAACCCAUAACACUGGGACAACCCUGGGAAACUGGGGCUAAUACCGGAUAACUUCUUAGGAAGGCAUCUUCUAAAGAAGAAAGGCGGCCUCUUGAAAAAGCUGCUGGUUAUGGACGGGCCCGCGUCUGAUUAGCUAGUUGGUAGGGUAACGGCCUACCAAGGCGACGAUCAGUAGCCGGCCUGAGAGGGUGGCCGGCCACACUGGGACUGAGACACGGCCCAGACUCCUACGGGAGGCAGCAGUGGGGAAUAUUGCGCAAUGGGCGAAAGCCUGACGCAGCAACGCCGCGUGAGUGAGGAAGGCCUUCGGGUUGUAAAAGCCCUGUCUUAUGGGAAGAAAAAAAUGACGGUACCAUAGGAGGAAGCCACGGCUAACCUACGUG